rnacentral:lncRNA from 10 species
AGCGCAGAUCCUGCCGGCUCUGGACUAGCCGCUCAGCACCAGGGCGGAAGGAAGACGAGGCGAGGCAAGCGCCAAGCUUCCAUCCGGACUUCAAGGCCAGUGGCUGGGUCUGGUUUUCUCAACACGGCCUCCUAGUCUCCUUCCCGCUUGGGCAUCUGUUUUUCUUAUAUAGACCCUGAAGCCGCCCGUGAUGUUCUGUAAGCAGGUUCCGCUUCAGAAUCAGAGGUACUUAAGAGGGAACCUGGAUGCUAGACCUGCCCUUGCUGCUGGCCUCAGUUUCUUUACCUGUAAAACAGGGAUUUUGGAACUGUUAAAUUAAAUCAAACUUAAAAGAAUUACAACUUAAAGCUGCUGGAACUUUACAUGAUCCCGAGCCUUGAGAGGAAUGUGGCUAUGCAGCCUGAGUCAUGUGGCAUGCAGAUGCAACCUCUGCCUUUUUCCGCUGUAAAUAAUUAAGAAGACCAAGUAGCAUCCAAGAGUCACCUAAGCUGAAGAUUCCCUUGAGAACAAGUACUGUCCUGUGGUUUCAUGGCCUUUCUUCCAUUUGUGGUUCUUGCCAAGCGGAAUUUAAAUGACAUCUUAUCAAGAUGGAUAAACCCUAGUUUCCCAGUGCUGGAAUAUAGAAAAUGGAUGGACAAGUAAAUCCCACUCAGCACCCAUAGCCCAGGCAUGGGGACCUCAACACAUUUGAGCCGCAGAGAUCACCUUUCAUUGUGAAUAGCUCUGAGAUGAUACUUCUGGUUGAAUGUCUUUUUGUCACUUCCGGCUGGAUCUACCAUGAAAGAUUUCUGAAUCCAGGAAGAGAGAUUGACUGGGCAACAUGUUAUUCAGAAACAGGACCUUGCCCUGUCACUCAGGAUGGAGUUCAGUGGUCCAAUCAUGGCUCAUUGUAGCCUCAAACUCCCAGGCUCAAGCAAUCCUACCACGUCAGUCUUCCCAGUAGCUGACAGGGUCUCACUCUGUCGCCCAGGCUGGAGUGCAGUGGCAUGAUCUUGGCUCACUGUAGUGUAGACUUCCCAGCCUCAAGGGAUCCUCCCACCCCAGACUCCCAAGUAGCUGGAAUUACAGGUCUCAUGCUCUCACUCAGGCUGCAGUACAGUGGCACAACCUCUACUCACUGCAGCCUCUACCUGCCAGGCUCAAGCAAUUCUCCUGACUUAGCCUCCCGAGUAGCUGGGAUUACAGUUGAAGCAUAUGUCCUGUGAGCUUAGGGGUGCUACAAGUUGACCACUGCAGCAGUAAAGAUGAUUCUGAAGAAUGGCAUGGGAUGGAUCCUUUCGAAUGCACUUGAGCAGCGGUCUCCAACCACAGGGCCACAGAGCUGGAGCUGGAUCUACCAUGAAAGACUUCUGAAUCCAGGAAGAGAGACUGACUGGGCAACAUGUUAUUCAGGAGAUGGGGUCUCACCCUGUCGCCCAGGCUUGAGUACAGUAGUGCUAUCACAGCUCACUGCAGCCUUGAACUCCUGGGCUAAGGAUCCUCCUACCUGAGCCUCCUGAGUAGCUGGGACUGUAGGGUCUCCCUCUGUUGUCCAAGGCUGGAGUGUAGUAGUGCUAUCACAGCUGACUGCAGCCUCAACCUUCCAGGCUGAAGCGAUCCUCCCAUCUCAACCUCCCACGUGGCUGAGACUACAGGCGCUUGCCACUAUGCCCAACUAAUAUUUGGAAUUUUCCUAUACGUGGAUUCCAGAGGGGUGACAGCGAAACGUGGGACCAUCCAGUUGCAGGAAAACGAGCUUAACACGCCCACUGAUUCUACAUUAUGCUCCUACCUCCCGGCAGCCUCUCCAGGCCCAGAACUUUCUCCAGUCGGCCUCCACAGACCAAGCUCAUGACUCACAAUGGCCUAUUUAGGCCCAUACCCUACCUCACGGCAGUCUCCGCAGAUGAGGCUACUGCCUCACAACAGCCUCCACAGGCACAGCUCCAUCGUUACAAUGGCCUCUUUAGACCCAGCUCCUGCCUCCCAGCCUUCUCUCUAGGCCCUGAACUUUCUCAAGUCGACGUCACCAGGCCCAGCUCAUGCUUCUUGGCAGCCUCUCCAGGCCCAGCUCUUCCUCCCGGCGGCCUCUGCAGGCCCAGACUGUCAUCAAGUCGGCCUGUCCAGGGCCAGCUCCUGCCUCCCGGCGCCCUCUGCAGGCCCAAGUCGUCCUCAAGUUGGCCUCCCCAGGCCCAGCUCCAGCCUCUCGGCGGCCUCUCCGGGUGCAAAAGUUCCUCGAGUCAGCCUCUCCAGGCCCAGCUCCUCCUGCCUCCCAGUGCCUCUUUCGGCCCAGCCCAGCUCAUGCCUCUGGGCGGCCUUCCCAGGCCCCGCUUUUGACUUUUGGCGGCCUCUGCAGGCCUCGACAAGGCCCGGCCUCCUGCCUCCCGAAGCCUGCACAGGCCCAGCCUCUGCCUCACAGCAGACUCUCCACGCCCAGCUAGCUCUCGCCUCACUGCGGCCUCCCCAGUCCAAAGCUCCUGCCUCUCGGCCGCUUCGGCAGGCCCAGCUCCCGCCUGCCAGUGCCUCUUCAGGCCCAUGGGGCUCAUUCCUCACAACGGCCUUUCCAGGCCCCGUUUUUCCCUUCCGGCGGCCUCUCCGGGCCCAGAACCUCCUCAAGUUGGCCUCUCCAGACCCACUUGCACCCUCCGGGCGUCCUCUCCAGGCCCAGCUCUUCCUCCCGGCUGCGUCUCCAGGCCCGACUCCUGCCUCCCAACAACCUCUUUGGACUCAGUGCCUGCCCAUCUCCUGGCGGCCUUGGUCGGCCCACAGCUUCCUCAAGCCAAGCUCCCCAGGCCCAGGUCAGGCCUCACGGUGGCCUCUCCAGGAUCAGCUCCUGCCCUCCGAUGGUGUCUCCAGGCCCCAAAUGGUCUCCGGCCAGUGGGCUCCUCCACGCCCAGCUUGGGCCUCCCGGCGACCUCUGCAGGCCCAAGUCGUCCUGAAGUCGGCCUCUCCCGGCCCUGCCUCCCAGCAAGUAAGCAAGCUUUUUUGGCUUAGCUCCUGCCCAGCUCCCAACCGCCUUUGUAGGCCCCGAACUUUCUCCAGCCAAGCUCUUCGGGCCCACCUCCUGCCUCCCGGUGGCCUGUACAGGCCCAGCUCUGGCUGGAGAACAGCCUCUGCAGGCCCCGCUCUUGCCUCCCAGGGGCCUCUCCAGGCCCAGCUCUCGCCCCCACAGCGGCCUCCCGGGGCCAAGUCCCUGCCUGCCUCCCGGCAUCCCGCAUGCAGCCCAGCUCCUCCCUCACGGUGGCCUGUUGAUGCCCAACUCAUGCCUCUGGCACCCUGCCCAGAGGCGUGAGCCCCUGCCUCACACCGGCUCCUCCCACGCUGACAGAGGUCAGCGUGAGCCCCUGCCUCAACAGGCCACCGUGAGGGAGGAGCAGGGCCGCACGCGGGCUGCCGGAAGGCGGACAGGGACUUGGCCCCGGGAGGCCGCGGUGGGGCAAGAGCUUGGCCUGGAGACGCCCCUGGGAGGCAACAGCAGGGCCUGCAGACGCUCUUCUCCAGCCAGAGCUGGGACUGUACAGGCCACUGGGAGGCAGGAUGUGGGCCUGAAGAGCUUGGCUGCAGAAACUUUGGGGUCUACAAACGCCGGCGAGAGCUGAGCCGAAAGAGCUUGCUUGCUGGGAGGCAGGAGCUGGGCCGGGAGAUGCAGCCAGGAGGAACAGCUGGGCCUGCAGAGGCCGCCAUGCGGGAGGCAGAGGCUGGGCCUCCUCAAGUUGGCCUCUCCAGACCCACUUGCAGCCUCCCGGCGUCCUCUCCGGGCCCAGCUCUUCCUCCCGGCUGCGUCUCCAGGCCCAACUCCGGCCUCCCAACAAGGUCUUUGGACUCAGCUCCCCCGCAGCUUCCAGCGGCCCUGGUAGGCCCACAACUUCCUGAAGCCAAGCUCCCCAGGCCCAGCUCAGGCCUCACGGUGGCCUCUCCAGGCUCAGCUCCUGCCCUCCGACAGCGUCUCCAGGCCCCAAACGGCCUCCGGUCGGUGGGCUCCUCUAGGCCCAGCUUGGGCCUCCCGGCAGCCUCUGCAGGCCCAAAUCGUCCUGAAGUCGGCCUCUCCAGGCCCAGCUCCAGCCUCCCGGCGGCCUCUGCAGGCCUAAGUCGUCCUCAAGUCGGCCUGGAAAUGGGCCUGGAAGAGCUGCAAGUCGGCCUCCCCGGGCCCAGCUCCGUCCUCUCGGCGGCCUCUCCAGGUGCAAAACUUCCUCGAGUCAGCCUCUCCAGGCCCAGCUCCUCCUGCCUCAGUGGCCUCUUUCGGCCCAGCCCAGCUCAUGGCUCUCGGCGGUCUUCCCAGGCCCCGCUUUUGACUUUUGGUGGCCUCUUCAGGCCCAGAACUUGACCUCCAGUCGGCCUUUGCAGGCCCGGCCUCCUGCCUCUCGAAGGUCUGCAUGGGCCCGGCCUCGGCCUCACAGCGGACUCUCCACGCCCAGCUAGCUCUCGCCUCACUGCACCCUCCCCAGUCCAAAGCUCCUGCCUUUCGGCCACUUCGGCAGGCCCAGCUCCUGCCUGCCAGUGGCCUCUUUAGGCCCAGCUCAUUCCUCACAACGGCCUUUCCAGGCCCCGUUUUUCCCUUCCGGCAGCCUCUUGGCCUCUAAUUUUUUUAUCUUUUGUGUAUAAAUCCCAAAUUAUGGAAUUUUGGAAUAUUUCCACCAUUAUAUAAAUAUUUUGGUAGGUAAUUUA